UACAGAGGUGGCAAGCGUUGUUCGGAAUUACUGGGCGUAAAGGGCGCGUAGGCGGCCCGCCAUGUCCCGUGUGAAAGCCCCCGGCUCAACCGGGGAACGGCGCGGGAAACUAGCAGGCUUGAGUUCGGGAGAGGGAAGCGGAAUUCCGGGUGUAGCGGUGAAAUGCGCAGAUAUCCGGAGGAACACCGGUGGCGAAGGCGGCUUCCUGGACCGACACUGACGCUGAGGCGCGAAAGCUAGGGGAGCAAACGGG
rnacentral:rRNA from 1 species